rfam:Acetohalobium arabaticum DSM 5501, complete genome.
UCCGGUGGUAAUCGCGGAGGGGCUACACCUGUUCCCAUUUCGAACACAGCAGUUAAGUCCUCCAGCGCUGAUGGUACUAUGGGGGUGACCCUAUGGGAGAGUAGGUCGCUGCCGGAA